ensembl:lncRNA
AAGGGCAGGUGGGUGGAGGAAGGGCAGGAGGGUGGAGGAAGGGCAGGAGGGUGGAGGAAGGGCAGGUGGGUGGAGGAAGGGCAGGAGGGUGGAGGAAGGGCAGGUGGGUGGAGGAAGGGCAGGUGGGUGGAGGAAGGGCAGGAGGGUGGAGGAAGGGCAGGAGGGUGGAGGAAGGGCAGGAGGGUGGAGGAAGGGCAGGAGGGUGGAGGAAGGGCAGGAGGGUGGAGGAAGGGCAGGUGGGUGGAGGAAGGGCAGGAGGGUGGAGGAAGGGCAGGAGGGUGGAGGAAGGGCAGGUGGGUGGAGGAAGGGCAGGUGGGUGGAGGAAGGGCAGGAGGGUGGAGGAAGGGCAGGAGGGUGGAGGAAGGGCAGGAGGGUGGAGGAAGGGCAGGUGGGUGGAGGGUGGGCAGGAGGGUGGAGGAAGGGCUGGGUGGUGGAGGAAGGGCAGGUGGGUGGAGGAACGGGCAGGAGGGUGGAGGAAGGGCAGGUGGGUGGAUGGCGGGCAGGGUUGGAGGAAGGGCAG